UAUAAUAAUAUGAAGAAAACACCAUCAACAUCAUUACCCAUGUCAAGAAACAGAUCAUUGACAUCUCCUCAUGUAAGGAUCGCAUUCAGGACACCUGUCACGUGUUCUUAGGCAACUCUUGGUUGUGACUAUUUCUCAUGUUUCUUGAUUAGAUGACCUUGACUCUUUAGAAGAUUAUCGAUCAAAUAUUUUGUAGGAUGUCAUUCAAAUGAAAGUUUUUCUCCUUUUUUCCUCA